ACACGCAUGACACACUGCAUAUCAAUAAGCGGAGGAAAAGAAACUAACAAGGAUUCCCUUAGUAACGGCGAGUGAAGCGGGAAGAGCUCAAAUUUGAAAUCUUCAAGGUUUUACCCUGACGAAUUGUAGUUUAAAGAAGUGUUUUCUGUUGGAGUUUUGGUAAAAGUUCUUUGGAAUAGGACAUCAUAGAGGGUGAGAAUCCCGUAUUUGACCAUUAUUUCCAGCUGUGUGAUACACUUUCAAAGAGUCGGAUUGUUUGGGAAUGCAGUCCAAAAUGGGUGGUAAAUUUCAUCUAAAGCUAAAUACUGGCGAGAGACCGAUAGCGAACAGGUACCGUGAGGGAAAGAUGAAAAGAACUUUGAAAAGAGAGUUAAACAGUACGUGAAAUUGUCAAAAGGGAAGCGUUUGACACCAGUGUUGUUUUCUCGAAAAUCAAUUACGAAUGUUUUGUUUUUAAGAAGUUAUGACUUCAUCGGCUUGCUUCUUUCUUUACGAAACUUUCUUAAUGCACUUUUCGGUUAACAAGUCAACAUCAAUUUCUUUUGUUGUAAAAGGGUAUGAGGAAGGUGGCUUUCUUUUCGGAGAAAGUGUUUAUAGCCUUGUACCUCUGCAAUCGGAGAGAUUGAGGUCUGCAGCGUAGAUCCUUCGGGGUUAGAUACAUUUGUGCUAAGUUAUAGCUUUUCAUAGACAACUUGUUGACUAUGUUAAGUCUUGUAGCUUACUCGCUUAUGCUAUUUUACCUACGCUUAGGAUGUUGACUGAUAUGUAGUCGU
rnacentral:rRNA from 1 species